rnacentral:rRNA from 1 species
UACGUAGGGGGCUAGCGUUGUCCGGAAUCAUUGGGCGUAAAGAGCGUGUAGGCGGCCCGGUAAGUCCGCUGUGAAAGUCGGGGGCUCAACCCUCGAAUGCCGGUGGAUACUGUCGGGCUAGAGUGCGGAAGAGGCGAAGUGGAAGUUCCUGGGUGUAGCGGUGAAAUGACGCAGAGUAUCAGGAGGAACACCAAUUGCGAAGGCAGCUCGCUGGGACGUAACUGACGCUGAGACGCGAAAGCGUGGGGAGCAAACAGG